rnacentral:piRNA from 1 species
GCAACAAAAUAGGUUGUCAUCACAUGGUC